rnacentral:rRNA from 1 species
GAAAGGCGCGCGAUACAGGGUGACAGCCCCGUACACAAAAAUGCACAUGCUGUGAGCUCGAUGAGUAGGGCGGGACACGUGGUAUCCUGUCUGAAUAUGGGGGGACCAUCCUCCAAGGCUAAAUACUCCUGACUGACCGAUAGUGAACCAGUACCGUGAGGGAAAGGCGAAAAGAACCCCGGCGAGGGGAGUGAAAAAGAACCUGAAACCGUGUACGUACAAGCAGUGGGAGCACGCUUAGGCGUGUGACUGCGUACCUUUUGUAUAAUGGGUCAGCGACUUAUAUUCUGUAGCAAGGUUAACCGAAUAGGGGAGCCGAAGGGAAACCGAGUCUUAACUGGGCGUUAAGUUGCAGGGUAUAGACCCGAAACCCGGUGAUCUAGCCAUGGGCAGGUUGAAGGUUGGGUAACACUAACUGGAGGACCGAACCGACUAAUGUUGAAAAAUUAGCGGAUGACUUGUGGCUGGGGGUGAAAGGCCAAUCAAACCGGGAGAUAGCUGGUUCUCCCCGAAAGCUAUUUAGGUAGCGCCUCGUGAAUUCAUCUCCGGGGGUAGAGCACUGUUUCGGCAAGGGGGUCAUCCCGACUUACCAACCCGAUGCAAACUGCGAAUACCGGAGAAUGUUAUCACGGGAGACACACGGCGGGUGCUAACGUCCGUCGUGAAGAGGGAAACAACCCAGACCGCCAGCUAAGGUCCCAAAGUCAUGGUUAAGUGGGAAACGAUGUGGGAAGGCCCAGACAGCCAGGAUGUUGGCUUAGAAGCAGCCAUCAUUUAAAGAAAGCGUAAUAGCUCACUGGUCGAGUCGGCCUGCGCGGAAGAUGUAACGGGGCUAAACCAUGCACCGAAGCUGCGGCAGCGACGCUUAUGCGUUGUUGGGUA